rnacentral:lncRNA from 1 species
AAACGAAAUUUCAAAUCUUUUUCGACAUUACUGGCGUAAUGAUCAAAGUGUUUCAAAUUUAUAAUUUUAAUGGUCGAUAUGAGACAUUUCUCGUUUAGCAGUGUAAAGAUAUUCAAAUCAAUUGAAUUUUGGUUAGAAAAUUUUUUAAACUAUUUAGAACAAGAUCUAUACGCUCGAUCUUAAUUACAACAUUUCUAUCAUCACUUUUUAGACGAUAUUCAUUUUCAGCCGUUUAUUUUUAUGUCCAUUUGAUGUACAAGAGAACAAUAUUGGAAAAGCAUAAAAUUUGAUUUCUAGAUGCUUGGUGUAGAUCAUGUUCAAUGGUGCCGAUCGUCGAUUUAGAGGCUCCAUCAUCAAAAACAAAUGGGUGGCAACGGAGCCCGUUUACUACCGAUAGUAUUCCAGCUCAACUCAAAGUUAUUAUAUUACACGAGAAUAAGAUAUUCAGGCGUGCAUAAAAAUAUGGAGUAGGUCUUGUGUGCUAUUAGGAGGACGGAGGCCUUCGUGCUCCUAAACCGUUUUCGAUGAUGGAGCUUUCGAAUUAACGAUCGGCUUUAUUAGACUUCGUCUAGCGUAGUUGAAGUAUCUAGAAAGUAAAUUUUGUAAUUUUUCGAUGUCAUUUACCUAGCGAUCAAAAGAGUUCAAAAUUAACGACUGAAAAUAAAAAUAUCAUAAAAAGUAGUGAUAUACCACUAAAAUUUUCGAUCAGAGAUAUUGAUCUUGUAGAAAAUAGUAUAAAAAAAUUUCUAUCAAAAUUUUAUCUGAUUUGAAUAUUUCUACACUGUUAAACUUGCAAACGAUAUACAUCGAUCAUUAAAAAUUAUUGAUUUUUAACCCUUUUGAUCGUUAGGUGAAUAAUAUUGAAAAAUCGUAAAAUUUAUUUUCUAGAUACUUCAAAUACGCUAGAUCAAGUCUAGGGGAGCCGAUCGUCAAUUCGAAAGCUCCAUUACCGAAAAAGACUGAGGAGCACGGAGACCUCCGUGCUUCUAAUAGCACACAAGACCUACUCCAAAAAUGUGUCCUAAAAUCACAAAUAUACUCAAAUGUUUAAAGAGUUACACCACUUACUCGCAGCCAUAGCGACUUUCAAAGAUGAGUUCGACAAGAUGAGAAAGAUCAAGAAUAUAGAUAGCACAAAUCUUGUAGGAGCUAGAGAGGCCAUGACAAAGGACUAAAGAGAAAAUCUAGCAAAGAGGUGUACAAAUUUUUGUCAUGAAGAGGAGAGAAUGAGGGGUUUGAUUUAUACUAACGUGGGAUAAGCAUUGGGAGCUCCCAAUAUUAGGGAUGUGUGUGAAAGAAACUUGGAUUGACUAUAAGGGCUUGUUUGGUUCAUUCAUUUUGGCUAUGGAAUGAGAAUCAGUUUGAUCAAAUUCGGUUAAUUUUGUUUGGUUCGUAUGAAUUGGUUUGGAAUUCCUAUUCCGGACUGGAAUGGGAAUGGCCUAUUAGCCUUUAACUUGAUUCCGGUCUUCUAGCCCGGAUUGAGAUUUCAUUCCGGAAGCCCACUAAGUUCUCGAAGCCCAUGUGACCAUCUCACCCUCCUUCUCUUCACCCCUUUCUCAUCAAAAAAAAAAAAAAAAAAAAAACAUAUCCUCUUUCAAAAUCAUAUCCCUAACCCACAUCAAUAAAAGUUUUUAAAAAUAAAUUUGACAUUUUUUUUGAAAAACUUAUUAGAGAAUAGUAUUAUAUUUUUCAUAAAUUUUAAAUACUAUAAAUUUAUAUUUGAGAGUAAAAUUAGUAUUAUAGUAUCCUAUAAUUUUUUUAGUUUAUACGAAACAAACAAUGAAAUGUGAAUAACUCAUUCCAAUUCUCAAUCCACAAAUAAACCAAACGUCUUGAGGGAGUGAGCCAUUCCAAUUAUCAUUUCAAUGCAUUUCCAUUUCAUUAUCCAUUCCAAUUCCAUUCUUGAACCAAACAACCCCUAAUAGUGCUUAACAAUUAGGGUAUACUUUUCAGAGUCAAAUUUGGAAAUAUAAUUAAGGGAAAACUUCAAAAACCCCCCCUGUGGUUUCGUGCAUUCUCACUUUGCUACCCUGUGGUUUAAAACGUAUCAAUUUACCCCCCUGUGGUUUCAUUUUUAUCUUUUCGGAAGCUUUUUCGUUAAUAUUUCGUUAAAUUAUAUACAAAAAACUUCAGAUAACCAUCUAUAUUUAUCAAAUAGUCACUUUAGUAUCCUUUAAUUUUAACUUUGUCACUGAUUUUAAAAAAAAAUAAUAAUAAAAUUGAUAACAAAAAGAUAAAAACGAAACCACAGGGGGGCAAAUUGAUACGUUUUAAACCACAGGGUAGCAAAGUGAGAAUGCACGAAACCACAGGGGGGGUUUUUGAAGUUUUCCCUAUAAUCAAAUUAGGAAGCUGACUCAAAUUUUCCAGUGGUCAAUUGAAUGCAAGAAUCACCUCAUACGCACUAAUAUAAGUGGUGGGGAGAAAAGAAAAAAGAAAAAAAUAACACUUAACCUAUUAUGUAGUGGUGGGGAUUUAGCUUUUAACUGUAUGUUAGGUUUCUUCUUAAAAGAUCUAUCCUUUAAGUAAUAUGAUAUAAAAGUAGUGGUGGUGAAUGAAACUCUUACCUAAUAGAAUCCCCAUAAGUUACCUCUUCCAAUUGUGAACACGGUAGUUCAAAUAAUUUUCAUGCAUAUUCACCUCUCACUUUAAUUUCCAUGUUUGAUUCAUUCCUCUUUUAGAAUCAAAGAAUUGUUGAAUUACAAGGCUUUACUAAAGUGAUGCUUUUGUUUUUUUUUCCAAAAUUCUGCGCCAUGCGUUGACGAAUGGCGAUUCUCUUCCGAAGAAAAAAAAAAUGUUUGAAAUUGAUAAUAGGGUUAAUUUUAUACAGAUCCCUACAAAAAUAAUAAAUAACAAAUAUAUUCUUACAAAUCUUAACUUUCGUAUGUUGUCAUUGCAAAAGUUCUGAUAUUUUCAAAUAUGUCCCUACCGUUAGAAUUCGUUAGAAAAAUUUAUUUAACCAUAAAUUAAAUACUUAAGUCUGAUUAGUUUUUUAUAUUUUUACUCAUUUAUAUUAUAUUGUUAUAGUUUUUGGAGGGAUAUAUUUGUGAUGGCAAAAUUAAAAAUAUAAACAGCUAUCUAACUGUCCUCUAACAAUAACAAACCAGAGGGACAUAUUUGAAAAUAUCAAUACUUUUGUAGGAAGUACAAUUAUAAAAGUUGAACUUUGUAGGGAUAUAUUUGUCAUUCACUACAUUUGCAGGGACUUGUAUGAAAUUUACCUUUGAUAAUAAUGUAAUCCAGGUUUAUAAAAGUAAAUUGCAAAUUAAUUACUCAAAAUUUUUUCAAGCAGAAAAAAGAAUUUAAAACAAUCUACUAAACUUGAUAUAGAUCUUUUGCUCUUUUUAUUAUAUAAUAUAAAACAACCAUUAUUCUUCAAAAGUUUAAGUUAUUAGAUGACAGUGUUUUUAAUAUUUCAUUCCCCCUCACGUCUACGAUAGGACGUGAACUUAAUUAAAUAGGAGGAAAUUAAAGGAGACUAGAGACUAGGGAAAUUCAAUAAAAUGAUAAUUUACUAUUAAUAUAUAUUCAGCAUUGUUUUUCUCCCUCUCUUUGUUUUUUUUUUUUUUUUUUUUUUUUUUUUUUUUUUUUUUUUUUUUUUUCUUCUACGUAGACCUCCUCAGCUAUUGGUUAUUUUGCUCGCCACCGGUAGUCUGAUUGGUAAUGCACCUAUUUUCCAAGAGAGAAGUCGCGAGCUUGAUCACGUGUUUAUAAUAUAGACCUUCUUAAUUUUCUAAUUUUAUAAGAAUCGGUUAACUAUAAUCAAACAAAGUGGUGAAAUUAUAUCACUUUACGAUUUUAUUAGAUUUAUAAACUUAAUAUUUUUAACAAAUACCCUAAAUCAGUUUUAACGGUGUGGAUCGUUGAUUUGAAUACCCUAAGAUCGAAAACGAGACUAUAGUACCGGAGCUCCGGUACUAUUGAUAGUAUAGGAGACUAGCUCUAUAUACUAGUGCUUUUUUAACCUAUUUAUUAAUAAUAGUAGUGGGGAUUCAGCAAUGGCUUUGAUUUUAUGUUACUAGUGUGAGAUCCACCGCCAUUAUAAGCAGAGUUCCCUGCGUACAUUAAGUUGAAUUAAUCUUAUUUUUUACUUCUCCCAUUAUCUUCUUUCACAACAAUCAUAGUAAGAUUCAUCUAAUCUCCGUUAUACAUGUCCGAGUAUUUUUAAAUCAUGGAUUCGAUAUCAUUGAUUUCGAAUUCUUUUAGACUGGGGUCUCAUUUAGAUAAAAAUAAACCGAAAGCACUUUAAGUACUAUAUAUGGCUCAUUUUGAAAGUACUAUUCAAUCUUUUAAACUUUGAGUUUUGCGCUCUAAUCUGUCAAUUCGUUUAUUUUAAGCUAUAUAAUAGCACUUUAUUACAGAAUUUAGGCGCGCCAUUUAUGUUAUGAACUUGAUUAGAGUAUUUCAUAUAACUCAUGUGACAAUAUUUUGGGUAAAUGUAUAGCGUGCUUAAAUUUUAUAACAGAAGAACCAUUAAAUCAAUUUACUAGACUAUAUAUUAAAAUUAAAUUUUUUAAAAAUUAGAUUGUUGUGUGAAAACGGUCCUCGGUUGAAAUAAGUUUUGUACAUUUUUUCCUCACAUUUAGUUUUCAUGUUUGACUCAUUCCUUCUUUAGAAUCAAAGAAUUUUUAAAUGAAAACACUUAAUUAAAGUAAAGUGAUGUUUAAUUGCAUUCUUUGUGUGGAAUUCCAUGCACCGGUAGUAAUUAAAUAGAGGAGGGUAUGAGUCUUCAGUCUUGGUGAGUGAUAAUUAUGUCUUGAAGAAAAAAGUGUUUGAAAUUAAUUAAGUAUGCAUCCGGGUUAUAAAAGUAAAUUGUUAAUUAAUUAAUUACUGAAACUUAUUUUCUCAAGGAAAAAAAAUUUAAAAUAAUUUACAAGUUAGGGUUACCUUUCACUGAUAGUCGGGUUGGUAAGGCCCCUCCCUUCUAAGGGGGGAGGCUGCGAGAUUGAUCCGGCUUAUAUGUGUAUAUAUAUAUUUAUGUUUUACUAGUAUUCUUAGAGGAGAGGAAGUUUACUGUAUCACACUUGUACCAUAUUAUCAGUAACAAGCCAAUCAUAUCUCUUGAUCAAUUGAAUGUCAGAAUCACAUGACAUGCACUAAUAUAUAUAAGAAAAGAAAAGAAAAGAAAAACAUUUAACCUAUUUAAUAGUUAUGACACAUCCAUAAUUUAGAAUAGUUUUAUAAAUUAAUGAGAUAUUAGUAGGCUAAACCUUAUCAAUCCGACUGUAGCAUUUUGGAUGGUAGUUAGGCCCAGGAGGUGAAGAGGGUUAAUUGUGCUAGGGUUAAAAUAGUUCUAAGAUAGGCAAUCUCCUAGGAAAGUGGGGUGACAUAGUCAAUCACCAUUCGAAAGUGUGAAAUGAGAUUCAGUUGAGCCAAGAUUUGAAUAACAGACUAAAUCAGGAUCUGGAAAUGACAAGCUAAGCAAAAGUCUGAAUGACAAGGCUAGUGAGACGAGUCUCAUAUCGCCUGAUACUUGUGAGUGUGCUUAAGUCUGACAAGAACGUCAGGGCUUAAAAAUGGGAGAAAUUAAAUGUGACAUUUCCAAGAUCUAGAAUAACUCUAUAUAUAAGAUAUAAUCGAGUUAAAUCUUCUAACUGACUAUAGUAUUUUGAACGAUGGUUAGACCCAAGAGGUUAAAAUGGUUAAGUAUGCACCUAGAGGUAGAAUAAUUUUAGGAUGGAUGAUCGAUUUCUAUGGAAAGCGGGGCAUCACAAUAGUGUUAGAACAAUUACCGCACAAAAAUCUGAUUGUGAUUUAAAUCUAACUAAAUUUUAUUAUAAAUACAACUUACUUGCUAUAUCCAAAAAAAUACUUAAUUGAUCCGGAAGCGUGCGAGGCACUGCCCUAAGACGUAUUCCCGUCCUUACGUGCGGGAUUAACCGGAAACAACACCCCAAGAUACGACCGGAAUUUCUCCUCCUGCGAGCACGAUCGUGAAGAAGAUUGACGAAGACUCUUUCAACACCCAGCGAUAAGAAUCAAUCAAAAUAAAGAAAAUUGGAAAAUGGAAUAAACUUAAAAUAAAUUUUCUUUGAUCCCUUUAUUUUGUUUUUCCUCUGCAUCAUGUCACAUAAAGUAUAAACAGUAUGCGUUAUAUAGAUGUGGGAGUUGAACGUUGGUCCACAACGUUCGACCCACGUCGCUAAUAAUGAGCGCCAAUUAAGAAGGAAAACGUCAGCUCUUCAGCGGACGUUAAAAUUCCACUCAUUUAGGAAAUAAAAUAAUAUAUAAAACAUAUUAAUUAGUUAAAAUUAAUAAAAGAUAAUAAAUAAGUUAAUAAGAUAAUAAUAAUAAAAGAAAGUAAUUAGGAAAUUUUGAAUUUUACACCAACAAUCCCCCACAAAAUUCAAAAUUAUCGAAAUAGGAAUGAAACUUAAAAAUUAAAAUAAAUAAAUGAAUAAAUCACCGGGUGUUUAUACUAUGCAGUAGGCGAGGUGUCUUUAAAAGACUUAACCCCACUUAGUGUAAAUAGUUUCCAUCAGAAGGAAUCGGAGUGAAUCAGGUCUUGAACUACGUUCCUUUGUCCCAGACUUCUACUACCACACACACAGUACAGAGUUCUCCGUCGCGGGUCUGUGCGUUAAUGGCCAUGCACAGUACCUUAAUUUUUCAUAAGAGUUUCUAUGUAUAGCACAUUCACAUAGCCGCGGCCACAUACUGAUACUCUUAUAUAGGUGGUUUCCUCCAGGGAUGUGUGUAGAGUCAUAUCUCGCGAAAAUUAUCGCCUUGGAUUCCAUUAAGAGCUCUCAGCUCAACCUAAUCCACUACACAGAGCACUACUCACCAUGGGGAUGGAAUUGGAGCGAAAGCUCCUCUAUAAAAUUUGUAGAAAGUGCUCUUUGGCCAACCUGACAGCUUAUUUUUACCACAUUGAACCUUCUUCAAGGGAUCUCCUAUCACAAAGGUUGGGUUCCCACUGCAGGAAGGCCCUUUAUAGGCAAGAUCCCAUCCCCCUCGAUGACAGUAGGACUAUAGUCCUCUUCAGGCCUUUCAUCAAGCACUCUGCAAAAUUUUGAUCAGAUCUGAUAAAACUCAAAUUAAUAACAUUAUGAAGAAUAACCAUCUAAUAAAUUUAUGUCAAUAUAAUUUAUUUGCCAACUUUAGAAUUUACUAAAUUCUUCUCCAGGAUGAACAUUAAUAGUAAAACAGAUAAACAUAUGAGAGCAAACAUAAUAUCAAAAUUAAUCAACAGAUAAAAGAGUUUCCCCCCACAAGUUCUGAGAUACAUUAAGACUUAAGAUCAUGAUAUUAAUCAUGUGUCCAGUAGGGUUCUGUUCAACAACAAAUAGAUGCCCAAACAAUUUUAAAAGAUAUGUUCGAGCAAAAUAUAUAGAAUUUCACUAUUAUUUGACGUUGCAAACAGAGUAUAUUAACAAUACUGAAACAAUAAUAGAGAUGAUUAAAAUUUGAUUUACUGGUUUGAGACUAUGGCUAUAAGAAGUUGAGCAAACCACGGGUUCGAAUCCCACUGAAAACAAAUUUUUAUUUUAUUUUAUUUUUUUUCUUUUAUAAACAAAUUUAAAACACCCUAUAACAAAUAUGAGAAUAUAAUAAUUGAUAAUUAAACUAUAUGCAAUUAGCAAAUAAAUUAUAUGCAAUUAGAAUUUGAAAAUACUAAUUCUAAUUUAUUUAAAUUAGAACGACAAACAUACAAUCAAAUUUGUCAAACAAAAAUAACAUGCGAUAUCUUUCUAUUUUAAGCGAAAUAAUAAUUAAACUACAUACAUGAGUGUGCUAGUCUCGAACAGUAGUGCAGCGCAAGGGCGACAUGAUAAAAUUCCAGUAACAAGCUAUCAUGAGUAGACACUCCCCCACAAAAAAAUUAAUUUAAUAUCGAGGUUGGCAAGUAAUCCACAUAUAUCAGAUAUUAAACUAAUAAGAACAGAUAUUACAACGAAACAGUAUAUGUAUAUACGGUUACACUGAUUUUUUUUUUUUUAACUUAUAAAAAAAAAAACAGUGAAAACAAUAUACAUAUAGUUUUGAAAUCCAUAAUGUCCGUACCUUUUUAUUUUCAAAACAGCUACAAGUAAAGGCAUUUUUUUUUUUUUAAAUACUCAUCAAAUAAAAUGUAAUUUAAACAAGAAAUUACAUAAUAUGCAAUUAUAGGUUAAAAUGAUAAUUCCGAAAAUUUUGUAUUUGAAUGCCAAUUAUACAAACAAAUUAACUAACAAAUUAUAUACAUAUAAAAUUAAUUUAAUACGGAUUAGCAUUCGUCAGAUUUCAAUCACAAUCAAAUCGGAAUUACGUCUUAGAUUGUUGGAACAAAUACCGCACAGAAAUUUGAUUGUGAUUUAAAUCUAACUAAAUUUUACUAUGAAAAUAAAUAAAUCAACUUACAGAUGAUCGCUAAAUCCAAAUAAAUAUUUAAUUGAUCCGGAAGCGUGCGAGGCACUGCCCUAAGGCGUAUUCCUGUCCUUACGUGCGGGAUUAACCGGAAACAACACCCCAAGGUACGACCGGAAUUCCUCCUCCUGCGAGCACGAUCGUGAAGAAGGUUGACGGAGACUCUUUCAACACCCGAUGAUAAAAGAUCAAAUAAAUUAAAAUUAAAAGAAGAAAAAUUCCUCUCUCUGUCGUGUUCACAUCUCCACAUGAACAGUAUGCGAAGCAUACUAAUAUAGAGGGGAAUAGAAUGUAUGUAACCGUAGAAUCCAACCAACAUUUUAAUCCUAAUUAAUUACACAAAGCUAAUUAGAAAAUUUCAAAACCGCCCUAGAAUUCAUGCGCCACUAGAAGUCAGCGCAUGAAGCGCGUACGUCCGUAACGGCCGCGCCCGGAGCGGACGUCCGUUUUAAAGGACGUUAACAAUAAAAAUAAAUUAGGAUUAAUAAGUAAAAAUAGAGGAUUUUGAAUUUUUCUCCAACAGAUGACCAAGGACAUUCUACUUGGAAUGUGUUUAUGGUUACUAUUCAACUAUUUAUCGUAAAACAAACAUAUAUAUAAAAAGUGGAAGUACUUCAGUUUUUAAUUUACUAGUUCUUUUAAAUAAAACAACUCAAACAAGAAACUUCAGUUCGAAAGGCACUUAGGCUAUGUUUGGUUGGGGAACAAGGGUGGGGAUAAGGGGUUAUCCCCGCCUUGUUCCCCAGACACUAUUUUUACAAAAUUAAAAAUUUAAAUUUUAAAUUAUUUAAUUUAAAAUUUAAAAUUUUGAUAUUUUAAUUUUUUUUAUAUUUAGAAUUUGAUAUGUUAUUUUUUAAAUUAAAAUUACCAACUUUAAUUCUUAUCCCAUCUUACCUAACCAAACGUUAUUUUUCUUAUUCCCAGCAAUAACUCAAUUUUCAUCCAAACGCAAAAUUGAUCUAAUCCUCGCUUAUACCUCAAUUUAUAUCUAUACUCGGAAUACCCACUUUUUGCUUAUCCCCGAACCAAACGAUACCUUAGAAAGUAAUUUUCACUUGAAUUUAGUUCAAUUUGAAACCAAAAUGUUUGGAUUAAAUAGCUUCCAAAAAUAGUGGUAGUAGUAGCACAUUCAACAGAAUCUGGGCCAAACAGGAUGUCUUAAGGGCCCGUUUGAUUCGAGUUAUGUAAUAUUACCAAGUAUCUCGACAUAUCCAGGUAUUUUGGAUUUCGGCGUGAGAUUACUACUGAUGCUGCAUUAGCGCGUUUGGUUUAAUGCAGUAAUGUAAUACUAGAUUACAGUGUUUAUAGCAUUAAUACGUUUGGUUCAGUUUAUAAAAUUUAGUAAUCCUGACAUAAGAGUAUAGUUUUUUCCAAAAUUGCCUUUGUUGUGGUCAUUUGAAUAUUAGUUUUUACGGAAAUGACGAAUGGAGGGAAGGAGAUCGUGAUGCAUGAUUACCUGGAAGGACGACGCAAUAGAAGAUGAUAGGUGUUCGUGCGCGCGAGAGAGAGAGAGAGAGAGAGAGAGAGAGAAAGUGGCAUGAGAGAGAGAGAGGGAGGAAGGCGAGAGAGAGAUGAAAAUAAUAUUGUUAAUUAGAUUUGGGGUUGUUGGAGGGUAAAAUUGUCAUUUUACAUAAUAUAUAGUAUUAACGGGUUUCAGUAAUGCAAGAUACAUGACCCCCCCUCCUGUUAAUAUUUUCGAUGUAAUCCUGCUCGAUUUGUAAUGCUACAUUAACGAUUAGAUUACAUAGCCGAUUAACCAAACACAGUUAUCCUGAUAGAAUUGCCUGUAAUCCUGCCAGGAUAACUCGAACCAAACGCACCCUUAUUACNUUAGGAAAUAAAAUAAUAUAUAAAACAUAUUAAUUAGUUAAAAUUAAUAAAAGAUAAUAAAUAAGUUAAUAAGAUAAUAAUAAUAAAAGAAAGUAAUUAGGAAAUUUUGGAUUUUACACGAACAAAUAGUAGUGGGGAUUCAACAAUAUUAUCUUUAAUUUUAUGCACUUAGCUCAUAGCUAAAAGAAGUUUUGCACCUUUCAAUCUUUCAUGAACUAUAUAUCUCUCUUUUUUUCUUUUUUUUUUUUUUAAUCAAUCCAGUUUUAGGAGAUGAUUUAAUUAUCUUAUUCCAGGGGAACCAAAUAUGGAGUUUCUUUUUCUGUUUGAUGUAACAAGUCACUUCUUUUUUCCCUUUUUCUGGCUUCAACUUGCUUAUAUCUUAGGAUAUAAUUAAUAUAAUUAGGAAGAGUUUGUUCUCUUCUGCUACUCAUGAAUUAAUAUUAUCGUUUUGUCAGUAAUUAAAUUGAAAAAUACUAUCUGUACGCCUGCAUAUAGAUGCACAUCGAUCUCAUACCUCACUUAUCCGAGAAUUUAUAAACUCUUUUCUUGAGUCUCUUCUAUUAAAAUAAAAGAGUUAAUAAGAUCAGGGAGAAAAUAGUAGCUUUUGUAUGGAUGGAAUGUAAGAUUAUAUAACUUACACUAUCUAAAUAGGGUAUAUAAGUAGCCUCGAUCAAUUGAAUUUGAUCACUCUAACAAUUACGUAAAAGAAACGCCUAGAUCAUCCUAGAUCAUGGGAAAGUUUAUUUCACCUAUUGUUUCAAAGGAAUCAAUGGUAGCAUUUAUCUAUCACUAUCUGGCUCAUGCAGUUGACUCGUACUUUGAAUCGUUGAUAUAAGAGGUUGGGAAGUUCGAUUUUAUUUUUUUAAUAAAGUUUUGUGUAUCAAUAGAUUUCUUGUAAUUUUUUCAUCCAAAUUGUUUACUCGACAGCAAAAGAAAAUAAAAAUUUUAAGUCUCAUUUGUUUUCGUAUUUUUAUUUUCUUAAAUAGAAUUUUACAGAUUAUAAGAUACAGGAGUGGCUUUUACUUGACAACACAAAACAAAAAUAUGAAAACAACAAUUUUUUUUUUUUUUUUGUACUUCCAAUUUUUUUAAAACAAAUUAUCAUCUAUCACUUAAUUGGAUGCAUCAUAAGCUAUCCAAUUAUAAUAUCAAAAGAAAAGUCUAACCUCUGACACAUCAUAUCAUAUAGAAAUAGUGCUUAAAUAAGUGAAGAAAAGGUAACAAUACCGUAUAUAUAUAUAUAUAUAUAUAAAUAUAUAGCCCACUAAUGAUGCUUGUAAAACACCAAGUACUUGGUGCUUAUAAUUUUUUACCGUUAGUCUACUCUUCGGAUCAUUUUCAACCAUUAGAUUAUAAUAGUUCAAUGCCACCACCCCCACUAACCCUAGGGGCCAUAUCAUCCUAACCGCAUAUGUCUCUUAUCCAAUGGCUAAAAAUUACAAGCACCAAUAUACUUGUACUUUUCAAAGUAUGAGGAACUCAAUUAUAUAUAUAUAAUAUUAUAUAUAUAUAUAUAUAUAUACUAAUAUAUAUAUAGCCUUAGUCUUGUUCUAUACUAUCAUCCGAUGCCUAAAAAGUAGUUCGCCUUCGUUAUUCAUGCAAGUUGUUUUCGAUGAUGGAGCUUCGCGAAUCGAUAUAUAUACUUAUAUAUAAUAUAUAUAUAUAUAUAUAAUAUAUAUAUAUAUAUUAUAUAUAUAUAUUAGAGUAGCGGCUACUAUCUUAUAUGAGAUAUUUGGGCCCUUUCGUACUGCAUAAGUUGUUUUGCUAUGAUGGAGCUCCGGAAUCGAACGAUCCACCCGUUAAAAUAUGAUUAGAAGAAUUGAAACUUUUAGAAAAUAAAUUAUGCGUAAAUUCUUUCCGAGAAUCAUAAUAAUUCCCACUCAAUGGCGGCAUUAAAUGAGCGGUCAUAAAUCGAUACGACGUCCUAAAAAUGGAUGGAUCCUUCAAUUUAAGAUCGGAGUUAUUGAUUCUUAUCUAGAUAGGAAUAGAAUUUCUAUUCAAAAAUUCCAUCUAUUUGCAAUUCUUUUAGCACCUUUAAACCUGCACGCUAUUCCAUGAUACCGUCGUUUAAAAAUGUCAAUUCUUGUAAGCCGCUUUUGAUGCCGUAAGUGAAAUAGUAUGUCCGAAAAAAUUAUUGAAAUUGAAUAUCCUUAGAAGCUAAUACUCUAAGAUAUAUUACAGUAUGGAUGCGUCAAUACUCGAAAGCUUUAUAAUCGAAAGCGCAACUUGAAUAAGUACGAGGACACUCGUACUCAUAAAAGUAUAUGCUAAGCAGCCGACUCUAUAUAUAUAUAUAUAAUAUAUAUAUAUUACCUUUUUAUAUACUCUUUUCAACAACGUUGAUCGCUACGCAUUGACCGAAGCAUUGUAAGCGCUAACUAACCGUAAGAGUAGCUUUGCCUUCACAUAUCAAAAUUAUACAGAAUAGACCCGAGUUUUAAAGAAUCCUAAACACACGGCAAAAAUUACCAAUCGCCAAGAACGCCAGGCUCUCGUUUGCUAUCUCGUAUCAUCCGCUCAACCUGAGCUGCUCCACCUAAAAUCAAUACAAGUUGCUGUCAAUAUACUGUAUUUCGACCCCCCCCCUCCCCCCUUCCCCCGCCCCCCUCCUUUCUUUGGGCCUCUAAGAUCCAACCCACAACCACGACUCCCCUCCGAUACGUAUCUGAACAACAUAAAGAAAGUUAAAAAUUCGCCGCGUAGCGCGAAUACCACAUGCGCAACAAUCGGACACCAACCAACAAUGCACAAUACCCAUCGGAGGCCUAGGGUGCCAGGACUUCCCGCAUAUGCCGACCCAUUCCCCCAUCCACCCGCCCCCCGCCCCCCACCUCCCGUCACUCAACCCCCCCCCCCCCCCCCAAACAAAGCAACCACAUACCACCACACCACACCCACACGCACACCCACCACACACACCACAACCGCUGAUCCGGCCGGCGGUGAGGUGUGUUGGUUAGGCCGCCUGGUUCAGAUAUUUGGGUUUGGUGAGGAUAGGAACAAUUUCAGAUGAAAUAAUAUCUCAUCCUCCCGAGUCACUGCGAACGGUGCACCCGCAUCGCUCCACCUGAAAGCCCUGAAUUAUAUGAUCUCGUCCAAGUUCUUCGGAAUUGUUUCUCAUGUUACGCAUGGAGUAAUCAGAUUUAUCAUUGACAAAGAAACAAGUAACAAAAGAGUAACGCAUCGUCGCCUGAAAUUAAGUUCACGUAUUUAUACGGUUUUCUUUUUCUGAACAUAUGCAUGUUCUGCAUGAAAUUAGGCGAGCAGAUUUAAAAUGCCCCUCUGUUAAAGCUGUGUCCCAUCGGCCAUACCGUGUUAACAAGGUGUUAGCGGAGAGUCGACCCCUUGUAACCAACGAACAAGGGUCGAAAUCGCUUCUUUUUUGAACAUUAAUUAGCUAUGCAGAGUUUGUUCAUGACCAAAAUUUUGGAAGAUACUGUAAGGUAUUAUGUCAAAGGAACAUACUCAAUGGACCAAUGACCGUGUGCAUCGAUACUUGCAUUCUUUGAGUUGGUGAGACAUUUGAGUUGAUUGAACUCUUUAUAAUAUUGUGUGUGCCCGGAUUUUUUAAACAAAAGUAAACAAAAUUUGGAUUAAUUGAAGAGAUGAACAAGUUAAUAAUGCCGAAAGCUUCAAGAGGCCCGAACAUUUCUCCCAUAAAACCUAUUUUAUAUAUAUAUAUAUAUAUAUAUAAUAGGAACUUGCUUCCCAUAAAAGACUAUUAUAUAUGACGAAAUGCUUAUCGUUGAAGUGAAGACAUUCACCGCCCUCACGCCAACAAACAGAUAAUUGUUUGCAACGAAACAAUUUAGCGCACGCUACUCCUUUGUUCAUUUCAUUUAGAAAUAAUCACUUAGUUACUUGGAUAUAUGAAUAAUUAGGAUUGAAUUGAACGCUCAGUACCACAUGCAAUAACCUUUGCCACUCGUGCUCCCGUUACAAAUGCAUGCACUUUGCUGUUAAAAAAAAUAUGGACGGUCCGCGUUUUAAAAGAAACAAAUUAGUCCAUAGUAUUUUAAUAGAGUUAUAGUCAACUUUACUACGCAUGCAUGGCAGUGUUCAGACAUAGAUGAGAAUUGAAAGACCAGAGAAGUCUGAAGAAAUAAUAUAGUAAACCGCGGAGAGGAGUGGCCCAGACCAUGAAAGAAGGGUUACAGAGAAAUAUGUGGCAAAGAGGAGCAAAAGUCUCUCACACGAGUGUAGAGUGGGUGGGGUGGCUGAUGUUUUUGGCUGUUGGCUUAGAACAUUGAGUAGGUAUGAUAGUAGCGCCACAUGUGUGAUGCCUAAGAAUUUUGUGAAUGCACUAAUAAAUAGUCCCUCAAUGAAAAAAAAAGAGAACAAAAACAUUCACCGGUAUUUAAUACUCUAGUCGCUUUUUAAACCGUCGCAGCCUGCUGAGCUUUUCUUUUUUUCCCACUCGAGCUUCUCCUAUUUAUGUAAUAGUAAUAGUGGGAUUCCAGCAAUUGGCCUUUAAUUUUUUGUUAACUAAGUUCCUAGCUAAAAAUUGUUCUUCAUGAAAGUUUGGAUUUUCUUCUCUAACUGUUAAUUAGAGUUUAUGUUUGAGCUAUUAAAUUAACACGUUUAUUAGAGUAAUUUAGAAUGCCUCACUAUUUUUAUGAACUUGAUAGAGGUAUUUCAAUCAUGAUCAGCAGUUUCUGGUAAUAUUUCAAGUAAGUAAAUAAUCGUGCGUAAAUUUAUAACAGGUGAACCAUUAAAUCAAGUUAAUAGACUUUAUAUUGAAAUUAAAAGUUUUAAAAAUUAGAUAAUGGUUUGUACAUUUUUUCCUCACAUUGUAGUUUUCAUGUUGACUCAUUCCUUCUUUGGAAUCAAAGAAUUAUAUAUUAAACGCUUAUAAAAGUGAUGUUUGCUUUCUUUUGUGGAAUUCCAUGCGCUGGUAGUAAUUAAAUAGAGGAGGUGUACGAGCUCUCAGUCUUGAUGAGUGAUAAUAUUUCUGAAGAAAAAAGUGUUUGAAAUUAAGUAUGUUCCGGGUUAUAAAGUAAAUUGUGAUUAAUUUUGAAAACUUAUUUUUCAAGGGAAAAAAAUUACAAUAAUUUAGUACAAGUUUAGGGUUAUCAUCCACUGAUAGUCGGGUUGUAGGCAACUCCCUUUCAAGGGGAGGCCGCAUGUUCGAUCUAGGGGUGGCAAUCCAACUCGCUGUUCGCGAGCCACAGCUCGUUGUUCAAUUCAAAAUGAGCUCGAGAUCGAAUCGCUCGUUUAGUAAACGAGCCUAACACGAGUUUGGAUCAACUCGGGCUCGGUUUGCUCGAUAACAGCUCGAAUACAUAUAUUUUAUUAUGUUAAAUAAUUUAUUUAAUUUAUAUUUAUAUUAUAAAUAUAAUAAUUAUAUAUAUAAUAUAUAUAUAUUUAUUAUUUAAUUUUUAGUAAAUAAAAAUAUAAAUGCGAGCCUCAAUUAUAAAAAAAACUUAUUUAUAUCUAAAGUUUCAACUAUUAGAUCAAAAUCUAAUGGAUAAAUUUAUAAAUUUAUUUUUCAUAUAUAUAUCAAUCUAAUUCUUUUAACUUAUUAUUCAUUGGCCAGCUCAGUUUCGACUCGUUUAUUAACGAGUCGAACACGAGCAGAAUUUUUUUGGCUUGAUACUUUAGUAAACACGAGCCUCGCUCGGUGUUCGGCUCGUUUACACCCUCUAGCUUUCGAUCUGGCUUAUAUGUGUAUAUAUUUAUCUUUUACCUCUAUUCUUAGAGAGGAGGAAAUCUACUAUAUCACACUUGUACUAUAUUAUCAGUAACAAGCCAAUCAUAUUUCUUUAUUUAAGAAAAAAUUAUGAAGAAAGUUUACUGUAUCAAACUUGUAUCAUAUUAUCAGUAACAAACCAAUCAUAUUUCUUUAUUUAAGAAAAAAGUAUAAUAAAAAUAUUUUUUUGUUAAUCAUGAUGGGAAGUAUCAAUCCAAGGGGGAUAUCGAUCUAAGGGAGAUAAUUCUAUUGGCGGAGGACGCCACGUCAACGAUAUACCGGUGCAUUCUAGAUUUUGGGUAUAGUAUGACCACUAUUCUGAAAAUAAUGUGCACCUAAGAGGAGUGUUGGGAGGACACGUGUCACCCCAUGGUCCCCCCAAACCCUCCUUUAAUGUAGUAGUAUAGAGUAUAGAUAUAGAUAUAGAUGUGUAAGAUGUAUAACUUGGAAUGACUAAAAUAGCCCUUAAUAAUUGGGGCAUACUUUUCAUAGUCAAAUUUGUACACCUAAUUAAAGCAAGAAGGUGCUUAAGUCAAAAGUUUUCAUUGGUUAAUUAGGGCGUGUUUCGUUCGUCUCCAUUUCACCCUAGAAUCGAAAUCGGAAUGGACGAAUCCAUUUGUCCGUAUUUGGUAUGCGGGAUGUCUAUUAUGAUUUCGAUUUCCGGAUGAAUGGGAAUUCCCCAAGUACCUUUUUUUCCAAUCCGACAUAGGAGACCGGAUUGGAAAUUAAAUCCGGACAGAAUGAAUUUGUUUGGAUUAAAUUUAAUUUUUUAAGUUUAUUUUUUUUAAUUAAAACAUAAGUUUAAGUUUAAAAAUUAUAUUUAUAAUUUUAAAUUUUAAUUUGAAUUUAAAUUAAAAAUUAAAAUUCAGUCAAGCAUUUUGAAUCUAAUUUAAUUAUAAUUUGAAUUUAAAUUUAAAUUUAAUUUAAAAUCUAAAGUUUUAUUCAAAUUUUAUUUAAAAUUUAAAUUAAAUUUAUGGAUUCAAAUUGAAAUUGAAAUUAUAAUUUUAAGUUUGAAUUUGAAUAUCAAAAUUUAGUUUUAUAUUUUGAAUUAUCUGUUCAAUCUCAAAUUUUAAUACUUUAAAAAAAGUUAUUUAAAAGUUUGACAUCAUUUUAAAAUUUUAACCUAUAUUUUUAAUAAUUAAUUUUCAGUUUGAAUUUAGACUAACAUAUUAUAAAGAUAAAAUUGAUAUAUUAAUUUGAUUACACUUUUUAUAUCUAUCUGAACUAAACACUGACAAUAAAAAUGGUUCAUUUCAAUUUCGAUUAAGGUGGCGAAUCAAACAUAAUGAUGUAAUGAAUCAUUCCGACUCUAUUUCCAGCUUAUUCUCAUUCCAAUUCCAAUACCGAUUCCAAUUUCGAACCAAAUAUAUCCUAAAUGUCAAGAGCCAACUGAUGAGCAUUAAUAGAAGUUUAAAAAAAAUACAAAUAAAAAAAACAUUUAUUGGGAAAAAAAUAUUUAACCUAUUAAAUAAAUAAUUGUGGAGACUUAGCAAUAUGUUCUAAAAUGGUGAUAGUAAAUAACAUAAUAAAGUUUAAGAGCAUGCGUUUUCUUAUUUUUUCCUUCUCUCUUAGAGGUGUUUGGUUUCUCGAAAAAAUCUAAAAAAUUAUAUUUACCGUAAAAAUUAAGUUUCCAACAAAAUAUUAAUUUCGGAGUUUUUGUUUUCAAAAUAAAAAAAUUCAUAAAACAAAAACACUAAUUUUUCAUAAAAUUUUAAAAAAUUAAUAAAAAGAUAAAAAAAUAUUUUCAGUCACAAAACUAUUUUUUGGAAUAUUUUUCGAAGAACCAAACACCCAUGUUAAAUAUUUUAAAAAAUAUAUAAAUAUGACUUAUUUUAGAAGUAUUUCACAAUCUAUAAAACUUUUUAUUUCGCUACCUACUCUUUUUCUAGAUUGUUUAAUUUGAGCCAUUUUAUGGCUCUUUAAUUACAUAUUAGGUCCACUAUUUAUUUUAAUGAACUUGAUUACGAUGGUAAUAAUGUUUCUAUUCAACAAGCGAAGUGCUUAAAUUUUAUAACUGAAUAACCAAAAUUUUGUAACAAAAUUAAGAACCAUUAUGUUAAAUGAAUAUAAAGAUUAGAAGCCAAAAUUAUAAUCUUAUAAAAUUAGUUUCAUACAUUUUUUUCCUUUCACUUAAUGAUCAUGGUUGGCUCAUUCCUCUUUUACUAGAGUCAACAAAUUAUCAAAUGAAAAAGUUUAUUUAAAGUGAUGUUCCGUAUUCUUUGUGGAAUUCCGCAAACUCCACUUUUCUGAAGAGAAAAAAGAAAAGUUUGAAAUUAAAGGUUUGUUUGGUUCGCGCUAUUCAAAAAAAUAAUUAAUUAUGCAAAAUAUGAAUCUUUUAUUAAUUAAUUACUCAAGUGUAAGGAUAAAAAAAAAGAAAAAAAUAAUUUAUACAAAUUUAAAAAUUGAUAGGGACACGUUCUUUGUAAGAGAGAGAGAGAGAGGUCACAAAUUCAUUCCUAUUUGUGAUAUUUUUAAACCAUAAACUAAUAAAAUAAAAAUACGCAAAAUCAAGAGAGAUUUAUUGUAAGUUUAUCCUAAUUUAUAAGAUGAUGUUUAUUGUGGUGCUUCUUUGUACCAUUAUUAUUUUUCCAUAAUUUUCCAUCACUAAAGUUGAAGGAAACUAGCGUAGUGAAACGAUUAAGGGCCAAUUUGUUUUUGUGGAUAACUUCAGAAAAAUUAAAAGUACUGGUGCUUGUUUCUGCAUUGAAGUUGUGAUAUCAUAUGAACUCUCACUCAUAAUUAUAUGGACAUUGGCUUUUCAACUCGACCAAAUUUCAAAUCUAGGGCCUAAAUUUUUAAUUAUUUAACAAUUAAUUCUCUGGUUCUAUAAUUUAUCAAUUUAAAGUAAUUAAUAUUAACCAAAUGACCAAGAAAGGACAAAAGAAAAGGACUCACGCCAUAAUCAUCAACCUGUUGUAUAAAAUUAGCUAUAAUUAUCAUAAUUAAGGGACAGAGCCAUAGUGGGGCUCACAGCCUCACAGUGGUCAUGACCCCCCUCAACUUUUAAAAAUUAUAUAUAGUCCUUUAUAAUAAAAAUUAGGGAUAACUUCAAAACCCCCUAUGUGGUUUCCAACUUUCUCACUUUAGUACCCUGUGGUUUAAAGUGUAUCAAUUUGCCCCCCUGUGGUUUCGUUUUUCUCUUUUUUUUUUUUUAUCAAUUUUAUUAUUUUUUUUUCUCAAAUCAGUAACAAAAUUAAAAUUAAAGGGCACUAAAGUAAAUAUUCGGUAAAUCUAGAUGGAUAUCUGAUGUUUUUUUGCAUAUAAUUUAACGAAAUAUUAAGAAAAAAACUAUAGAAAAAAUAAAAACAAAACCAAGGCGGCUCAUUAAUAAACGAGGCGAACACGAGCCGAACCUUUCGGCUCGAUACUUUAACGAGCUAGCUCGUGUUUGGCUCAUUUCAUAAACGAGUCGACCCCAGCUCGCUCGUGUUCUGCUCGUUGACACCCCCAAGUGACUACAUGCAUAUCGAAAAAUAGUGUUUAGUUUAAUGCAUAUAAAUCUAAUUACUUUAGUACGCCCAAAUUGCUUGCAAUUUUAAGUGCAGUAGUUAGAAAGUACUUUUAAAUAGGUAAAACAGUACAUUAUUUUGAGUCGGCUAGAUUUUACUAUCUAAUCUUCCAAUUUGUUUGAUGCGUCAAUCAACGACACUUUGACUUUAAAAUUUGAGUGUCAUUUACCUUCAGUUUCUCAGAACUAUAAAUUUAUUAAAAUAAUUCGAUAAAUUACGAAGUCUAAGUACCGAUGACCAACUCAAAUCAAACAAAUUGAAAUAUUUGACAGUAAAAUAAAAAUUUUGAAAAGAUAAGCAACUGACUCAAAAUAGUCCAUAGUUUAGAUAAGUAUCUUUUAAAUAAAAAUAAGCUUAUCACCCUAAUAACCUUUUAAACAAAAAAUAAUAAUAAUUUUUGUAUGUUAGAAUUAAUAGCACCAUCCACUAUAUAAAGUAACAAAGCUUGUAAAUAAAAAUGCUUAACUAUGCAUAACCAAACAAAAAUAUUUUAUAACUGUACUACUUUUAUCACAUUCAAUCAAAUAAGAUACAUUUACUUAUUACUAUCAUAUUGUCGACUGCAUGCAUCUUCAACUAAACUGUAUUUACAAUUAUAUCUCCUACAUGCGAAGAUGCAACUUUCACGGUCCCACCAGAAAUUAGAGAAGCAUAUCUUGAUAUGCUUUUGCCCCAACUCCUCUUUUCCCGAUUUUGCGGUGUCAUACCCAAAAGUUUAAAACUAUUUGGUGUUUACCUAAUAGUCUCUAUCAAUCCAAGUUAUUACUGAAUAAAACUUGUUUUCAGGUCCAAACAAAGCUUGUAAGCCACUGUAACAACAGAAUAAUUCUGAGUUUUCGGUAUAAGAGUUCCACACAGAUGGUGGAUAUAAAUCAUAUUCCGAAAUAUAUAUAAUGUUUUGUGGAUGUUUUAUCACACUCUUCUCAUACCACAUCGAUGGAAAUCACAAAAUUUCCCCUGAGAAAACUACGAUAUGGCAUCGAACAAGAUAGUCAUGCAACCAAACAGGUCGGGCAAGUUUGUCAUGGAUCAAAAUAAGCGCAAUAAUUUUCCGUUAAUAUACCGUAAAUAAACUUCCUAUUCAGCAGCCAGAGUUGAAAGUCCAAAACACUGAUGUCUUCCUACUUUAGUAAGAAGCUUUGGAGUUUUUCUAUUGCCAAACACAUUGGUAAGUAGAGAAGCUGAUUCAGAAACCAGAUCACCAGAAUGAACAGCUUUGUAAUGAGGACGGUCGUGUAAAAUGCCGCUUGCAAAAGAUACUGGAGCAAACAAAAACUGCACAAAUCUGGCAUUUAUAGAUUGAACUUCACAAUUCUAAUGGGCAAUGCAUUUAGGUCGUCAAUACGAUGAUUAUCAAAAUUCGCACGAGCUCAUGUUACUGAUUUUAGAAGGAAAAAUCUUUAAUGCCGACAAUGCAAAUGGGCGUCUUCUUAAACUCACCUUUGCAGGUAUACAUAUCUUCCUAAUUUUCGCUUUGCCACAAGUUGAAGUGCUACUCUGUACAACAAUGUCAGGUAUUGUAUGUAUAUCCUCCAUAUAUAGCUCAGCCGCUGCUAUUUUUCUUAUUGCUCAUCCUGCAUCAAAAAUUUUCAGUUCAACCCAAAUUAGGCAUCAUAAAGCUAAAUCUACAAAACGCAACAGGUAAUUUAUCUUAGAAAUUGUUGAAAAAGGCAUCAGAAUCAAGACAGAAGCAUAUGAGUGAUGACAAAAAAACAUAAUAUAGAUCACACUUCAUCUAGUGCUGAAGCACAGAGAAAUGCAAAAGCACUGCAAAUCAUUCCGAAGAAUGUCUUAUGAACAUGCAAAUGGUGUAGAUAGAGAGAUACCUCUUUAUCAGAGUUGGUCGCCACUUGAUCAUUGACGCUCCGUUGAUUUUGGCCGUCCUCUGGAUCAGAAUCAUAUGAUUCGCCGCUCCACAACUGACGACGUGGCCUUCUUUCCAUGUCCUCUUCUUCCUAUGUGAACAAAGUUUUACAAAAUCAUCACCAAUACCCUAAAAGCAACAGAAGGGGAAAAAAAAAGAAGCAUUUUGUAUGCCAAGGAGAAGCACCUCUUCAGGAACUUCAGUAUCUGGUGGUCUGGUAUGGAAUUGUACACUUGGAGCAUGCUCUAUUUGUGACAGGUGCUCAAAUAUCAUGUUCCUGCGAAUACAUCCUCAUCUAGUGGAUCAGAGAACAAAAUCAAAUUAGUAUUGUAGCAACAUUUGUAGCAAGAAGAACAUAAUCACCUUAUAUUCUCCAGAUCUUUCGCAGAGUUGAGAUUCUCCACAUUUUUUGGUUCAAUAUGAAGAGUAUAGUCGGGGCCAAAGUACUCAUAAUACUCGUUAUAGGGCAACUUGUUAUCAGGUUCAACUCCAACCGCAACAGCCGUCUGCACCACAGUAACAUCUCAAAUUUGCUCUAAAGCACUUGCAAAUAAAUUUGUAAAAUGGAUAAUGUAUAGAUAGCCAUCAUCCUUGAGUUCAUCAUAUAUUGCGAGUUCAUGCAUACUAUAGAUAUAAUCUGUGUUUUUUUCUAGGAAAAUGGCUUUAUAGUUUCAGUUUACCUGACGCAGCAAAAACAGGAAAUUUAGGGACUAUAGUUUUUAAGUGAGAAGUUCAAAAACUAGGUCUCAAUAUCACGAUAAAACAGUGACCAUCCAUACAUUUUACCCUCAUAAAUUCUUUAUGCAACUUUAGUUGCAACUAUAAGUCUAUAACUAAACAUGUGAGCAGAAAAUGCAGCGCAGCAAACCUCAUAGCACCAGCAGCGAGCAACAUUCCGAAUAGUGUAUCCUCCGCCUCCCAAAACCAUCAUAGGCACAUUAAAGGAUCGGAGAUAGCGGAGACAGUCGGCAUGCCCCCUCACAGACAGAUUAAAGCAACCUAGCCUAUCGCCGGCUAAUGAAUCCGCCCCGCACUGAAGAACAACUACAUCAGGCUGAUAAACCUCCAUGACUUUCUGGAUGAUACUUCUGAAUAGAAUGCCGAAACUAAUGUCGUCCAUCCCAUCACUCAAAGGAACAUUUACGGCAUAGUACUUUCCUUCGUUAUUGCCGACAUCACUGAUAUGCCCUGUGCCAGGAAAGAAUUCACCAUAUUUGUGGAAUGAAACAGUCAUGACUCUGUCGGUUGUGUAGAAAGCCUCCUCGACACCGUCUCCGUGGUGGAUAUCAAUGUCUACGUAUAGCACGCGCUGCAUAUUGAAUGAACUAGAUAAAUAAUAGAGAAAUAGAAUAACAAAAAUUAAGAAUAAUGUUACAACUGCCAUGGAGCAUAAAAUAGUACUUAAAGAAGUGAAAAUAAUCAACAAUCAGCACUAGAGUCAAUAAAGAGGACCGCAUAUUUUCAAAGGUCAGAAUCGCACAAGAGUAACUAUAGAAAAUAUAGUGCAUAAUAAUUUCAUGGCUAAGUUUCCUCACCAUAAAAAGCCAAAUAAUGAAGUGAAAUCAAGUUGAGGAAGGAUAUCAUUAGACAAGCAAUGUAGGUAAACAGAGUAAGAUGAGUUUGACAAAGCCAUGUGCUCUCGGCCCACAACCCUGAUCGUAAGACCUGUUUGGCGCAGCCGGAGCUUCUACAUAAGGGUUUGUUCGGCGCCGCUGUAGGUGCUUACAAAUGAAGGGCUGAGUUAUCAAACAUCUGAAGAGGAAAUAGGCCCCGCUUCCCAACAAAGCGAACUUCGCUGCAGCACACAUUUUGCACUGUAUUGACAUAGUGUUUUUUGGUCCAGCACUUUAGAACAAAACGGAAUCAAACAGGCCCUGAUAGCUUUUUCAUUGAAAUCCUCCAGUAGCAUCCUGCAACAGCAGAGGUACAAGAUCCAAAUUGGGUCCUCUACAUUGUGCCUAAAAGCACAUUUCAGAUCCUCGCUGCAAGCCUCAGAUUGGAUCUUCUACCUUUGGCCCCUAAAAGCACUUUUUCAGCUUCUUGCCGCAAUAGAAGUUUCAUAUUUUCUUUAACUUAAGAACCAAUUGCAGCUUCUACAAGUAGAGCAGUUUCCACAAUCAAACGAUACAGAUAUUAAGCAGUCUUGAUGGAUCUUCUUGUCUCUACUCUCUAGGGUGCUAAGAUUAGCAUGUUCUAGGAAAUACUCGGUAGAAAUUAAACACAGUUCUGAGGAUAAAUUCUUUUGAAUAAAAGACGUAACAACGUAUCAAAAGUUCUGAGUCUCUACAGAGAGUGCUCAGUGGCAACAACUCCCCAAGUAGGAUCUGCAGAUAAAAUUUACCUUUUGAGUCACGAACCCUAAAAUGGGACACCGUAACAACCCUAAAAUGUCUCAAGGGCUAUAUUAACCUACAAUAAACUCACACAAUCUUUGCUUAUAAAAUUAAGCUUAACCGCUAAAUGAUUCACCACUUUUAAGCAUAACAUAUAUUUUUUCUAACUCUAAAUUCAGAAAAUAUACAUCAUUUUUAAAGAUGGUAAGCAUCCGUUUGGUUCAACGUAAAACCUUGAAAAAAAAAUUUCUGUUGAAAAUUUUUUUUACUUUUUAUAGUGUUUGAUUGGAAGGAAAAAAAAAAAAAGUUUUCUAUCAACAUAUGUUGGCUUGAAAGGAAAAAAAAAAAAUCCACAUUUAUUUGGUUCAAUGGAAAAAAAAAAUAAAUGAAAAAAAUUCAUGCAGCUUGAGCUUUCGUUUUCUGCCGAAAAAUGGCGGAAAACAAAAACUUCAAUUUUUCUCCAACUAAACCCUAAACCCUAAAUGUCGAACCAAACAAGGGAAAAAAUACUUUUUUAUACCGAAAAUAAAUUUUCGGUUCGAUUUACGCCAAACCAAACGUGCCCCUGAAGGUAGAUGAUUCGUUUACCUUUUAAGCAUCCAAUUUUAAAAUUAUUACAAUAAUUAUUCAGCCGAGGAAUUAAGCAAGCAAUUAGUAGCGGCAUCAUAAAAAAAAAAAUAAAUAAAUAAAUAAAAAAAAAAAAACCUAGCUAGCUAGGUAGCUAGGGUUUUGUUUAUUUACCCGGUGGAACUUGAGGAGCUCGAGGAUGCCGAGGACGAUGUCGUUGACGUAGCAGAAGCCGGAGGCCUCGCACUUCUUGGCGUGGUGGAGGCCGCCGGCCCAGUUGAUGGCGAUGUCGGCGUCGCCGCGGUUGAGCUUGACGGCGGCCCCGAUCGAGCCGCCGGCGGAGGCCUGGCAGAACUGGUAGAGGCCCUCGAAGACGGGGCAGUCUUCCCCGACGUUGAAGCGGCGGACGGCGCGGGGGUCGAAGUCGGAGAGGGAGGCGGGGGCGCCGACGGAGGCGAGGAAGGAGACGUAGUCGUCGGAGUGGAAGCGGCGGAGGGCGGCGGAGGAGGCGGGGAAGGGGCGGGAGAUCUCCAUGCGGCGGUGGAGGGCGUAGUGGACGACGAGGCUGUGGGCCAUGCGGAUGCGGUGGGGCUUCAUCGGGUGGCCCUGCCCGUAGUAGUAGUCGCCGAUCGACGGCUCGUAGAAGUAGCUCACGCGCCGCCGGUGCGCCGCCAUCGCCGCCGCCGGAGCCCGCAGCGACGCCCCCUCCCCCUCCCCCGCCAUUGUCGCCCCGCGAUCGAGCUCGCGCUCUCCCUCUCUCUCGAGCUCACGAGAGAGAAGGGGUAAAAGGAGCUGAACAAAAAAAUUUGAUUGGGGGAGAAGGGGUAAAAGGAGCUGAACAAAAAAAUUUGAUUGGGGGAUCGUCCCCAGUAUGCACUUGACUACUUGAGUCACUUGACCACUACCAGUGUGCUUUGAGAUUCGUGCCGGUUGAUAUGAUGAUGGGCAAUAACAAGUGUGAUGAUUGGGGGUCGUCCCUGGGUGUAAACGAGUCGAACACGAACUGGCUCGUUAAAGUACAACAGUCGAUAAAUUUAGCUCGUCAAUAAACGAGCCGAACACGGGCUCACAAGCAGGCCAACGAAUAAUAAGUUAAAAAAAUUAGGUUGAAUAUAUAUAUAAAAAAAUAAAUUUAGAAAACUUUAUCCCUUAGACCUUGAUCUAGUAAUUGAAAUUUUACAUAUAAAUAAAUUUUUUUUAUAAUGAAGCUCGUCUUUAUUUUUUUUAUUUUACUAAAAAUUAAAUAAUAAAAAAAUAUAUAUUAUAUAUAAUUAUUUAUUUAUAUAUAUAAAUAUNUUAGUACUAUAUAGUUUUUAACAUGUAUUGUUAUCCUUUAAUCAUCAUGUUAGUAGCCAAUAAGUUAAAAGGAUUGUAUUGAAUAUAUAUAAAAAAUAAAUUUAUAAAAUCUUAUCAAUUAAAUUUUGAUCUAAUAGUUGAAACUUUAUAUAUAAAUGAAUUUUUUUAUGAUUGAGCUCGCCUUUAUAAUUUUAUUUUUCUAAAAAUUAAAUAAUAAAAAAAUAUAUAUUAUAUAUAAUUAUUUAUUUAUAUAUAUAAAUAUAAAUUAUAUAAAUUAUAUAAAUAUAAAAUAUAUGUAUUCGAGCUGUUUUCGAGCCGAACACGAGCGAGCUAACCCCAACUCGUGUUCGACUCGUUUAAUAAACGAGCCGAAAAAUUCAACUCGUGUUUCGCUCGUUUACUAAACGAGCGAUUCGAUAUCGAGCUCAUUUCGAGCUUAACGUGAGCUGGCUCGCGAACAUGGAGCUGGAUUGCGACCCUACCUGCAUGGAAACCUUGGAUCGUCCUUGUCACGAUAUCUCGCAUGUGCGCGUUGCGGAUCGGAUACAAAGAGGGAUUUUCCCACGAUAAAAAGUAGAGAGAGAGAGAGAAAGAAGAAAAAAAAUCUUAUUUUGCUCUUCCGUACAAACCCGAGAGAAAAAAAACAGAUCCUUAAAAUAUCUGAUAAGAGUUUAACAGAUAUAUUUCUUAACUAAUAAAAAAUAUAAAAAAUAUAUAAUUUAUUCUUUUUUUUAACUUAUCAUGAUAAAAAUAUGAUUUGGAGUGAAUUAGAAUCGGCCAAUAUAAACACACGAUAUAUCAACAAAGUUUAAUUCAGAAUAGGAUUUGAACAUAAAAGUUGAAGGCAAUAAGAUAACAAACUUACCAAUCCCAAUAGGACUUGGAAAUCCAUAUACACGUAUAUACACACAAACUAUUUUUUAGCAGUUCUUUGAUCUCCGGCUUGUUUUGUUGAUCUUUGCCGACGACGACAACGGCAUCUUCUCCGGUAAGCGCGACAUGCCGAUGUGGUCAUUCGUACCGAAAAUCCGUCCCCUGUUCAGCGCGGUGCUGUACUACAACGAUGCAGAUCAGGAUCCUGCGAUCGCUGCUCCGUGUCCGACGAUCACUUUCGAGUUCAAGUUCAACGUGACAAAGAUAGAGAUCGCCGCAGAACGCCGCCGCAUUGUUCGCCGCACGAAAGAGGAUGUGUUGGUCGUCCGCGACCUCGGCCACUUCCUCGCGCGGCAGCAGAGCAGGGCCGAGUUCAUCCGGGAGCUGGAGGCGGACGCGCCGCUGAUCGGCGCUCUCCCCGAGUUCGCCCGCGACUACAUAAAGCAGCAGUUCCCGCAGUAUGUUUGCGGUGUCGUGGCCCGGUCGGCCUCCAAGCCGCGCCUGGAGGAUCUCAGGGUGCUGGUGAACGUCACCGAGAAGACGUACUCGUCCGUGUUCUGCUGCGACCGGUGCCCGAUUUGCUUCGACGAGUUUUGCGAGGGGGAGUCGCCGUUCGUCGACUUCAAGCUGCUCCCCUGCGGCCACGGCUUUCACCGGAGUUGCGUCGUCGAAUGGCUGUGGAAGAACCCGACCUGCCCCACUUGUCGGCAACCGACGAGCAAGCCCCGCGGAUUCAACAAGUAAUAGAUAUACCGAACAUUAUAUUCAAAUAAAGGAGUGUUAUUUAUGACAUUGUUUUACAUGAAAAGUAAUUUUACGAUGAAUCAAACACACGAAAAAUUAUAUGCCAUGCAAUUAAUUUAAUUGAUUAAACUUUGAUCUAGAGCUAAGUGUAACACAAUCAGCAUAAUGGUGCAACAAAUUAAGGAGCCAUAUAUCUACAUGAUAGAUGGUGCAAAAUUCUCUUGAGAAUGUGAAAGAUUCAGGUAAACUGAUCAUGUCAUGUCAUUAGACGCCCCCGCUUUCGUCGAUUUUCUAAAAUAUAGUCACGUCGGGAAUGUUUGCGAUCUUGGGCCAAUCGACGCCGGUAUGCUUUCGGCACCGCUGCUUUAACGCAGGGUGACAAUUGGUGAUUUCGAGAGAACUCAGCGACGGGGGCAGCUCCGGAAGCGAUUGGAUUAGAAACGCAUCGUAUGCGACCAAAUCUCGAAGAGAACGCAGGUUUUGCAUGCUUUGCGGUAAGGAUUGAAGAGAAGCCGCAUUAUAUAUCUCCAAGUGUCGGAGAUGGUUGCGGUUUUGCAGCAGCCAUUGCUCGGGUAAGGAAGUGAGUUCGCAGGUAUCGAGGAACGUCAAACUUACGACGAAAGUGAGGCUUCGUAGAGGCUCCAUGAGAAGGAGUGCACGGUGAUCAAUUACGACGGUGCCAAGCUUUAAAAAGGAGCUCACGGCCGGCUCCUUUUGGUUGAAGUUCGUGGCCGACCGAGGGUACGAUGAGGAACCCGCGACGAGCUUGUCACAACCGCCGAUUUUCAACACUCUGAGCGAAGAAAGAGCUUGUAUUCCGCCGAGGGAUGUUAGCUCCUUGCAGUUCCAUAUCUCUAGAUGGGACAGCGACGUCAAUCUCGCACACUCUUGUUCCGCGGGGAGGGAUGUUAUGCUUGCACAACCAUUUAAAUUCAAUUCCGUGAGAGAAGUCGAAUUCGACAACGCCUGGAAUAAUAACAUCUCGAGGUUACCGCACGACCCGAUAGUGAGUUUACAGAGUGUAGACCGCGACAGUUGAGUGUUUGAGAUCCUGUGUGUUAUCAGAUUCGAGCACUUGGAUAUGUUCAAGGUUUUGAGGGAUUCAAGUCGCUCAAACCAUUUCGUCGGAAGAUCGGUGAGACUUUCACAUUCUGUAAUGGUUAGGUCCUCAAGAGCCUGGAAUUGUUCGUGCUGCUGCAGAAGACAUGGAUACAAAGAUGUCAGAAUUUUGUACAAAAUAGAUAUGCAAAUAGAAAGUGGCAUACUUACAUUGUUGUUUUUACGAUUCUGAUGUUCUGCAGAAGAAGAAGUAGCCGCUUCGGCAUUUACAACAUCACACCGUGUUACGAUAGCAGACAAAUUAGGCAAUGCUCUCAAAUUCGGACAACGUCUAAUAACCAUCUUAUGAAGUUUGGGGAACAUGCAUCUGUUCUCUGUUCCAACCCACUCUUCCCAAUUUGGCAUGUUCUGAAAAAUUAGCUCCUUCAAUGUUGGAAAGGUGCAAACAAUGCUACUCCCGUAGAAUGCGGCGGUUACCUGCUUCAGUUCUUGCAAACCGCAUAGUUUAAGGUAGUUGAGGGAAGGCAGCUGCCCGAGAGGCGGGAGGUGUUCCCAUCUUCCACAUUUGAUCAGCUUGACGGACGUCAGAUUCGAGAAAGAGACGUUCGCCAUCCAAUACGGAGAUUUAACACCUUUGUAUCCUUUAACUUUCAAAUUCUUAAGGUUGCUAUGCGGACUUAAGCUAUCAAGGAGUUGUUCGUCCGCCUCGGGAGUACAAGACUGAUCUAUGGACCAUUCUAAUGACAGCGAAUUGAGACAUUCUUUCUCAUUUAACCUCGCCUCUAUGGCCUCUUCGAAACUACUCACAUUUUGAAGAUCCCUAACACGUAGACGGCGGAGGUCUUUUAGGUCCUUCAGUUCACCUAUUUUGUAACCACUCUCCUCGCGGACGUAAAAAUAGUCUAACUUCAGCAUAGAAGAUAGCUUCCCGAUCGAGGGAAUAUUUGUCAUCAUUUCACGAGGAAUUUCUAGUCGGCGCAAGUUAACCAAGUUACUUAUUCCGUCAAAUUCGAUCUCCUCAAAAGUUUCUGGAAAAGGUGCUGAGAAUUUCAUUACUUCCAGGUGAUAAAGUUGAUAUGCAGAUCGAGGAAACCACUCUAACAAAUCUUCAGAAAAGGACUUAUCCUGGUAAAGAGAGAGGUAGCGGAGGUGUAUCAAGCUACUAAAUGCGUCACGAAGUUUAAAUAAGCGAUUCGUCGAAAUGCUCAACAGACGUAAGCUUUUGAAUCCUUUGAGAAACUCAUUGAGUACAAGUGCGUGAUCGGGAUAAGGCUCGUGAUCCUCCUUGAUUGAUAUGAAAAGCGUUCGCAAGUUCUGGAGAUGGGAGAUCUUUUGAAUGGCUAGAUGAUUUACAGCUUUGAUAGAUAAGUAACGAACAGUUUUCGGAAUGAAAUUUUCUGAAACAUCACCUUUGAUUCUCAAACAUUCCCCGUGAGAAACAUGUCGCGCCAGAUCAUGAAGCAGAUCAUGCAUGGUAUAAUAUUCGAAACAUUCGCCGAAAUUGUCUCUUGACCUGCGAUCAAAAAACGAUUUUCUUGUCAGAAGAUUCAGAUACUCCGAUCCAAUAUCUUCGGGCCUCCGCUUUCCGUCUGUAGACUGUCGAAUCAACCCCGAACCGAUCCACACAUGAACCAGCUCAUCUUUUGUAAACUCAUAGUCCUGAGAAAAGAUACUGCAGUAUCUAAAGCAAAGUUGCAAGUUUGCGGGCAAAUGGUGAUAACUGAAUCGUAAAACAGUCAUGAUGUUAUCUUUACUUUGCUGUAAAUUCAGAAUAUCUUCUUUGGAGAUUCUUUUCCAGUGGUCAUCAUCCAUACAGGAGUUUAAUAAUCCACCCAUAACUUUUGCGAGCAAUGGGCACCCUCCAAGCUUCUUCGCUAUUUGCUCACCAAUCAACUGUAGGUUCCUAUAGUCAUUUGGGUUCAGACCAAAAAAUGCAUGCUUAUUGAAAAGCAACAUAUAGUCAUGCUCUUCCAAACCGGUUAGAUAUAGAGACUCUUUUUGACAUUCCAUCACCUUUGCCGCCAUGUCCGCCACUGAAUCCAUUCGAGUCGUCAACAAGAUCUUACUCCCGCUUCGUCCAAACUUUAAAGGAGCAAUUAGUUUCUCCCACUCCGUCCUUUCCUCAUCGUUCCAAACAUCAUCUAAUAUGACCAAAAAUCUCUUCGAGGAUAGUUUCCCCUUUAGGAUCUCAUGCAGCGCAUUCAGACUCUUGUCGCCGAGAUUCUCCUUAGUUAUGGUAUCUAACAUCUUUCUUGUUAGUACAGCUGCGUCGAAGCUUUGAGAGACACAAACCCAUAUAAUAGGGUUGAAGAAUUGUUGCACUUCUUGGUCGCGGUAAAUGAGUUGAGCGAGAGUGGUCUUCCCUAGCCCGCCAAUGCCGACUAUUGUAAAUGCAGAAACAUUGGCGGUAAUCGCUACAGAUUGAUCACCGCUAGGUGCAGGUUUGGUCAACCAUGUAACAAUCAAGUUCCGCUCCUUGUCUCGUCCGAGCACCUCACUUUCGGUUAACAAGGAGCUAGUCUCGCGCGCAUUCCUGAUCCCUUCCAACAUCUGAUGCUUAACACUAUGACCAUGUAAGCCUAUAACAAGCUGAAGGAGAGGCUCCAUACUCGCAACAAAGCUAUCUAACCCCUUGACGGCCUCCCUCAACCGUUUCAGCGUGUCAUCACUAAAGAUUUGAACAAUAUCAGAAAACUUUCUCUUGCAUUUUUGUAUGAUGCCACCUACCUGUAGGUCGAAGAAGCUUUCUAAAAUAGAUUAAUGCUCACUAGUAAAUUUUGCUACAGUAAUGAAGUGCAAGAAAACAAAAACUUUCAUUCAAAAAUUAACUUGGGUGAAUUACAAGCUUACAACUAAGGAUUUAAAUAGAAGAAAACUUGAGGGUCAAGAAAACCCAACUCAACACAUAUUCUCCGCUACACUCACUACACAUGUACUCCCUAGGCACCGUUUGGUUGGCGGUCCCCGCUAUUCCGCCAAACGAAAUAAUUUUUUGUCGAGAUAUUUUAUCCCGGUCAAAUCUUACUAUUCCCGGCUAUCUCGGAAUAGCAAUGAAUUUACUAUUCCACUAUUUUGAUGGAAUAGUACUAUUCCAAUAUUUAAUUUCAAACUUUAUUAAAAUAAUAAAUUAAAUUAAAACUAAAUUAUAUAAAUAUAAUAUGUCAUAUAUUAUAAUAUAUUUUUUUAUUAUAAAAUUAUUAAUUGUACUAUAUUAACACAUAUUAUUUAUAUUUAAGUAUUAAAUAUUAUAAUAAAUUAUAUUUAAAUAUUAUAAAAUAUUAUUUUUAUUAAAUUUAAGUUUAAGUAGAAUUUUAAAAAAUUAUUNUAAAUUAUAAAUUAUAAAUUAUAAAUUUUAAUUUUGAUAUUUUAAUUUUGAAAUUUAAAAUUUGAUAUUUUAUAUUUUUCAAAUUUAAAUUUGAUAUUAAAUUUAAAGUUUGAAAUUUAAAAUUUAAAAUUUAAAAUUUUGAAUUUAAAAUUUCAAACUUUAAAUUUAAAAUUUUAAUUUCAAAAUUUAAAAUUUAAAAGUUAAAAUUUUAAAUUUAAAAAAUAUAUAUAUAAUUUAAAAUUUCAAAUUAAAAUAUAAUGAGAAGCGUAAUAUCAUUAUUUUUUAUUUAUAACUACCCACUUUAAUUAUUAUUCCAUCUUACCUAAUCAAACGAUAUUUUUUUUAUUCCCAAAAAUAACCCAAUUUUCAUCCAAACGCAAAAUUGAUUUAAUCCCCGCUUAUAGCUCAAUUUAUACCUAUCCCUUGAAUAGUCACUUUUUGUUUAUCCCCGAACCAAACGAUUUAGUUACCAUGUACUCCACAACAUCCAUUAGUUGCAAAAUUAAACCAUUACUCUAUUAUCUACAUGACUUAGUUAACUUCUAGCUAACUUAAGCCAUGACUAUUGCUACUUGGACCACUACUUGCAUAAUAAUAGGACCACUAAUAUCGAAUGUUAGAUGUAGCCCAUAUAAUUUAUUUAAGGUGAUCCCUAAGGGUACAGUUGAUCCAAAGGUUUAAGUGUAUCAGGGCAGAUUCUUGAUAGAAGUACGUUGGAUGAAGAGAUGUGCUGUUAGGAUGAUAAUAGUGCCCUAGGGAUGAGUGGGUAUUUGGUUGAAUAUUAUGAUCUUAUAGAUGGAAAUGGUCAAAAAGAUAGAUCUAACGGCCGAAAACUUAUGAAUACAAAGAGAUUUAUACGCAUAAGAGUAUAAUAGCCGGACUCUCUAUGUGUUAUUAGAAGCAUGGAAGUUUUCAUGCUCCUAAGCUGUUUUUGAUUAUAGAACUUCUGAAUCGACGAUAGACUCCGCUAGAUUUGAUUUAUCGUAUUGAACUAUUUAGUAAAUAAAUUUUACGAUUUUUCGAUAUAAUUUACCUAAUGAUCAAAAUGACUCAAAAUCAACAAAUUUUAUUGGUUGAUGUGUGCCAUUUGCAAGUUUAACGGUGUAGAAGUAUUCAAAUCAAAUGAAAUUUUGAUAGAAAAUUUUUUAUACUAUCUACAAUAAGAUUACUAUUUUUGAUCGAAAAUUUUAGUGUUAUAUCAUAAUUUUUUGUGAGAUUUUUAUUUUCAAUCGUUGAUUUUGAGUCCUUUCGAUCACUAGAUAAAUAAUAUUGAAAAAUCGUAAAAUUAAUUUUCUAAAUAGUUCAAAUACGUUAGAUCAAAUCUAACGGAGCCAAUCGUUGAUUCGGAAGUUCCAUCAUCAAGUUCCAUCAUCGAAAACUGCUUAAGAGCAUAAAGGCCUUCGUGCUCCUAAUAGCAUACAAGACCUACUCACACACACACUCUCUCUCUCUCUCUCUCUCUCUCUCUCUAUAUAUAUAUAUAUAUAAAACUGGAUUUUCCGUCUAAUCCUAAUCUCAUUUUU